rnacentral:rRNA from 1 species
GACGAACGCUGGCGGCGUGCUUAACACAUGCAAGUCGAACGAAGUGGCGAACGGGUGAGUAACGCGUAAUCAACCUGCCCUUCAGGGGGGGUUAACAGUUGGAAACGACUGCUAAUACCGCAUACUGAAGGGGGGGAUUGCGUCUGAUUAGCUAGUUGGGGGGGUAACGGCCAACCAAGGCGAUGAUCAGUAGCCGGUCUGAGAGGGUGAACGGCCACAUUGGGACUGGGAACCGGCCCAGACUCCUACGGGGGGGAGCAGUGGGGAAACUUCCGCAAUGGAGGAAAGUCUUACGGAGCAACGCCGCGUGAGUGAUGACGGGCCUCGGGUUGUAAAGCUCUGUUAAUCGGGACGCGGUACCGGAAUAGAAAGCCACGGCUAACUACGUGCCAGCCGCCGCGGUAAUUC